UAUUGGACAAUGGGCGCAAGCCUGAUCCAGCCAUGCCGCGUGAGUGAUGAAGGCCUUAGGGUUGUAAAGCUCUUUCAGUAGGGAAGAUAAUGACGGUACCUACAGAAGAAGCCCCGGCUAACUUCGUGCCAGCAGCCGCGGUAAUACGAAGGGGGCUAGCGUUUUUCGGAUUCACUGGGCGUAAAGCGCACGUAGGCGGUUUGUUAAGUCAGGGGUGAAAUCCCGGAGCUCAACUCCGGAACUGCCUUUGAUACUGGCAAGCUAGAGUCCGGAAGAGGUAAGUGGAACUCCUAGUGUAGAGGUGGAAUUCGUAGAUAUUAGGAAGAACACCAGUGGCGAAGGCGGCUUACUGGUCCGGAACUGACGCUGAGGUGCGAAAGCGUGGGGAGCAAACAG
rnacentral:rRNA from 1 species